UACGAAGGUGGCAAGCGUUGUUCGGAUUUACUGGGCGUAAAGGGAGCGUAGGUGGUUAGGUAAGCCCUCCGGGAAAUCUUCAGGCUUAACCUGAAAAGGUCGGGGGGGACUGCCUGGCUAGAGGACGGGAGAGGAGCGCGGAAUUCCCGGUGUAGCGGUGAAAUGCGUAGAGAUCGGGAGGAACAUCAGUUGCGAAGGCGGCUCUCUGGACCAGCACUGACACUGAGGCACGAAAGCGUGGGGAGCAAACAGG
rnacentral:rRNA from 1 species